rnacentral:rRNA from 1 species
CAGUCGUACCUGCGGAUAAUCAGCCUUUAGGAUGCGAUUUUGUGGAGUGUGAGGAGCUAAUCGCCUUCAUGCCUGUAUAUUCGUGUACUUGGGGUGUACUUAUUCGUGUGGUAAGUUAACAUCAAUUUUGGUCGUCAUAAAAUGACUGGAGGAAUGUAGCUUCGAUCUCGUAUUGAAGUGUUAUAGCCUUUGGUAGAUGUGAUUAUCGGGAUCGAGGAUUGCAACGAAUACCCUUUUGGGCUAUUCGUCUGAUCUCUGAUACGUUGCCUUGAUGUCGAAAGCUUGCUUAUGAUGUUAGGGUAUUACGGUCAAAAGGUUAGAACGAAUUACA